AAUGAUGCAGGAUCGACUAUGUCGAAUAAAAUUCUAGGUAGAAUUAUGAUAAUGACAUUGUCUGCCUAUGUGUCUUGACCAAAUUACGUGCCAGCAGUCGCGGUAAUACGUAGAAGACUAGUGUUAUUCAUGUUUAAUCGGUUUAAAGGGUACCUAGACGGUAAAUCAAGCCUAAAAUUAAAUGAAGGGACUAAUUUACUAGAGUUACUUAUGAGGGGGUAUUAAAGUACUGCUGGUGUAGAGAUGAAAUUCUGUCAUACCUCUUUUCAAUAGAAAAACAAUGGCACAGGUAUAGGCGAAAGCAUCCCCUUAUGUGAUAACUGACGUUGAGGGACGAAGGCUUUGUGUAGCGAACAGGAUUAGAUACCCCAGUAGUCAAAGCAGAAAAUGAUGAAUGUCAUAGAUUAGAUAAAUAAGUUUAUUCUAUAAAUGAAAGUGUAAGCAUUCCACCUCAAGAGUAAUUUGGCAACAUUGGAACUGAAAUCAUUAGACCGUUUCUGAAACCAGUAGUGAAGUAUGUUGUUUAAUUUGAUGAUCCGCAAAAAACCUUACCACAAUUUGAAUAUUUAUAUUUUUUUAUUGUUUUCUUUUUAAUUUUCUUCUGAUUUGAUUUUUCUAAAGAAAAAAAGAAAAAGAGGCGAUAUGAUAUAUUUACAAGCGUUGCACGGCUGUCUUCAGUUAAUGUCGCGAGACUUUGGUUAGUUCCAUUAAAUUAACGUAAACCCUUACUUUAUUUUUAUAUAGAGUAGUUCCCCGCUAUAUUGGAUAUGAUAACC
rnacentral:rRNA from 1 species